UUCCACACUCGGGCUCCGCCUUCUGCGCUCCCAAUCCCCGCCCUCAACCUGUAGUUCCGUCCCCCUGGGCUCCGCCUUCUUCGCUCCUAAACCCCACCCUCAGCCCGUAGUUCCAUCCCCCUGGGCUCCGCCUUCUGCUCUCCUAAGCCCCGCCCUCAGCCCCUUGCUCCACACCCAGGCUCCGCUUCCUCCGUGCUCGAGCUCCUCCCCUCUCGCUCACCGGCCACAGUCGCUCGCGACCGCCGGGGUACUUCACUGGCGGGAUACCUGGCAGGGUAGAGGCGGGAAGACGGUGGCUCGGGCAACGGUGAUAACCCGGCACAGAGUCGCAUUUCGGGGCAUCCACACGUAACGCGGCUCCUCAGACACGGAGCCCGGAUCCACGGGAGGGGAGCCCAAGGUUGGAGAGGCUGCAGCCGCAAGCCGACCGGCGGCGGAGCCUCCCUCAGCCUCAGGAAGGGACUCCGAGACGCCCGCAGCGGGACCCCUUUCCCAGACUUGAGAGCCGCCCCUCCCCCUCCGGGGACCGUUACCCGUUGCCGCCUGAAGGAGCGGUUCUGUGAUCGUCGCUAGCGUGGCCCUGGGCAUCGUUUGUCUAGGGCACGCUGGCUUUGGCUUUGAAGGUUCUCUACCCACUUCCUUCCCAGCAUUGCAGUUGGGUCCUUGUAGCUCCGGUAUCUGCUGUAGACUCCACUCUCUUCAGUACUCAAGACUACUUACUAAUCCUUAAAGGAUGUGCUGCCAAACAAGGUGACCGGAUGCCUGCCAGGCAAGCAUAUUAAAAGAGCUCAUUCUUGGGGUAUCCAGCUGUUUCCUGGAAUUUUUGCAAAUCAAUUCAACAUGAAGGGAAAACAAGGCAACCAAAGAAGCUGCUUUAAAAAUCGUGAUGUCCCGCUGGGUCCAGUGGCUCUUACCUGUAAUACCAGCACUUGGGAAGCUGAGGCAGAAGGACUGCUGUGAGUCUGAGACCAGCUUGGGCUAUAAGUGAGACUGUUUUAAAAAACAAAAACAAGAAAGAAAAAGAAUAACCAUGCUGUCAUGGUGUCGGUGGCUCUUGGAUCACUCUAGUUUUCUCCAUGCUAAUUAUAUCAACCAACUUAAUUCCUUAGAACGAUCUUGUGGCGAUGUGAUUAGCAGAUGCCACAGAAAUGGCCACUGUCUGGCAUCCAGGGAGAGGUUUUGCAUGAUUUCCUUUAUGACUGUACAUGCUUUUCUUCUUAAUGCUUUGGCCUUGCCUGCUUACUAAAAGUGUUCAGUGGCACACAGAUGCAUUCUCUGCACUGUCUAUUCUCACUCAGUCCAGUUCCUCAUUUAAUGUCAUCGUCUUCUCCGUACACUAAUGUCACAGCAUGCUGACAUAGGCAGGCUUCAUCUGUAGAAUGUACUUUCUCUAGGCUGAGUGUCUCUAAAGCUUUACUAGAAAAAGCCUCCCAAAUGUUGGAGGAUAGAAGUUUUAGCAUGAAAAGCUUGUCAAAUCAUCUCAAUGGAGAGAAUUCUUCUGUCCUGAGUAUUAACAAUGAUACUCCUUCUAUUGCCUGUCCCAGCUAUACUAUGAAAGGGGUCAUAAUAUUAGUUUCUUUGUUAUUAUUAGCCUAGUUCUGUUCUUGUAGACAACAGAUUUGUAUUGUGCUUAAAUGUCUUUGGGUAAAUGUCUGUCCACAUGAUCACUGGACAUUGUAGGUCCUAUAUCUAGGCUGGCCACAUCAUCCAGUCACUCACAGAGCUGGGUGAGGCUCUUCUCUAAGGUAGACUGUUAGGAGGACAUAUCCUCUGCUUUCCUGUCCCUUGUGGGAACUUCAUGAAAGGCUUAGAUCUUCUUUCUACUUGGCUGAAUACAGAGCUGGAGGGUUUCUCUGAGUCCUGACAGGAUAAGAACUGUGCCCUUGGGCAAUCUACACAGCUCCAGGUCCUUUGGCUGCCCUUAGGGAGGUGUCUGCACCUUUCUUGCUGUGAGUUAGCUUCUGGAACCCCAGAAGCACUGGAGGGUGAAGGUUCUUUUAGGGAACACAUUCUUCUCUUCUGGUCUGGCUGCUUUUGUUCUUUCUCUCUCUCCUAUCUCUUUUGCAUAGUAGCCGAGGCUAUCUUUGGGCUUCUCAUCCUGUUGCUACUGCUUCCUGAGUGACGGAAUUACAGAUGUACACCGCCAUGCCUGGUUUAUGGGGAUCACACCCAGGGCUUUGUGCAUGCUCAACAAGCACUCUACCACCUGAGCUACAUCCCUACCUCCAUUUAGCUUUCUUUAUCAGGGUCAAGUUUUUCUAACGUGUCAUACUGCAUGCUUGGGUGAAGAAUUACAGAAUGCAUUGGCAAAUGACACUGUGCAGUAUCUUUUUUUCUUUUCUUUUCUUUUUUUAACUAUACUACAGAUGACAGUUGGCUUGCUUUGGUUAGAGAUCAAGUAGUCCAGAAAGGAGUCUGGGCCUGUUGAAGUCAGUGGGAUACUCUUCUUGGUUUUCAGUCCAAGAAGUACAAUCUAUUGGAGAGGAAGUUUCAACUGCCCAGUGUUCAGAAAUCUGAGAAAAAGUACUUUCUUAGUGCUGGCUGGUAACCCAGAUGGGCAAGCGUCUGGGAAAGAUGAGCUGGAAGAGCUAGGCUAGCCCUCUGGCCAAAGGGUAGUAAAAGACUACCAGUGUUUGGAUUUGGGACAAUGCUGUUGCCCACCUCCAACGCCAUGAUUGAUUGUACGAAGCUUUUGCUUCUCCAUUUGAGAUCAUCUUUCACUCCUUGCCAAAAACAAAAACAAAAACCAAACAGAUUCACAGCUAGAUGUAUGUUGUUUCUUUGAAUCAAUUUUGAAACAGGACCAUUUGGUUACAGUUCUGAUCAUCUAUGUUGGGACCUGAACAGCACUCAUGGGAACUUGAACACUGAAGGGCAUCGUCUCUCUGUGCAUUGAGGAGUAGCUGCAUCGAGGUUUGGUACCCGGAACGAUUCUGGGAGGACAGAUGACUGUGAAGACACCACUGAAGUGGCCCUGGGCUUGGACUAAGUGAAAAGUGUCAUUUGAUUUCCUUUAUCAGCAGAGAGACCUUUCUCCUUACUGCUUCAUUAGUGACAUUUUUCUUGCUGGUGUCAGUGCCUGGGAGUGAAUUCUGAUGGUAACAUGUGUUCCCUCCUUUCCUGGGGGACUGGUUCUGUUUCAGAUAGUCUUCAUAAUUUGGGAGAGCACUGCAUUGCUUCUGUAAGCCUUUUCUGGUAAAAUGCCCAGAAGUAGGAGAGCUUUGUAUCUACACAGCUGAUGCUGGACUCCAAACAGCAUUGCCGUUGCUGCAGCGGGGACAGAUAGCUGAAUCUGCACCUGCCAGAUGAGGCCCUGGGAUGUGUCUCCAUUGAAACCUCUCUGUAUGUUACAGAAACAUCCAGUGGCUUGGACUCGGAAGGCUGUUUCAUUUGAAUGUCUGCAUCUUUAGGAUGAUUGGUGUCAGUAUUGUUCAGGGUUCAGAAGUCCUCCACCUGGGCUGAUUGACAUUAUAGUUCAUGAGGGUUACAGCAGAGUCCAUGCUUCCCCUACCCUGGCCAUGUUUCCUUAGCUAGCCAAUGCAUGGGUCGUCAAAACCCACAUUUGCCUCAUUUCCCAGCCUAUCAUAGGGGAAUCAUUCAUUUGGAAGCAAGACAUAUGUGAGGCAUUCUUUCUAGGGUCACAUAUGACUGAGCCCUCUCCCACAAAUGAAAUUAUUUAUUCUGUAAAUAUCCUACAGCGACUUUUGGUUAGAAAUUAUACAAGCAGCAAAAACAUUUUUUAUGAAUUCAUUUUCUAGUUCUGAGUUGGAGGAAGUAGGAGCCCAAAGAAUGCUUGGAGGUACAUACUGCUAAGUUAGACACAGUCAUCAGAUGGGAUGAAGAGUGUCAUUCAGUCUUGUGUAAUGCUCUGGACAGGCAUCUCAGGAAAAUAAGAUCGGUUUUUGGAAGAUGAUUUUGUUCUUUGGAUUGCAGUAAUUUUCUCUUAAUCAUCUAUACUCACACAUCACACCGUCUUGAUGAAAAUACUCUUUCUAGAAUAGUUUUCAGUUCCCAGUGUAGGUGUACUUAGACUCUAGACUUUAGUUUCUCCUUUGGCUCUCUGUAGGAAUUCACAGUGGCCAACAGCCUGGAGAUACCUUUUGUGAGGUGACAUUUUUUUUUUCUUUUUAAAUUCAGACAGCAGAACAUAUCCAGGAUAGGUUUGGACAGAUGUCAUUCUCACAAAUAUCUGGUAGGGAAAGUACAAAGAGCUGUCUCAACACAGGGGAAGGCAGCGUGGGCAAGUUGUGCCAGGGAGUACUGGGAGCUGGCAACAGGCCCCCUUCCAGCAGGUCUCUUCUUCACUGUCUUCUGACCUGCAUUUCUCUUUUGCUGGGUGGAUGGGAUUCAGGAUGAACUGGCACUGCAUCUCUUGGGCAGCUCUUCCAUGAGGAAGGACUCAUGGGAGUUGGGAGGGGUUGCAGAAUCCUUUGAUUUUUUUUUUUUCUUUAGCCAAGACAGGGUUUCUGUGUGUAGCCCUGGCUAUCCUGGAACUAGCUCUGUAGACCAGGCUGGGCUUGAACUCACAGAGCCUGCCUGUCUCUGCCUUCCGAGUGCUGGGAUUAAAGGCGUGCCCGGCAGAGUUCUUUGACCCCUGGGGCAGGAGUGCAGUGUCUUGAAAUGGUUUGUUUUGAUGCCAUAGGGUGAUAGUUCCCAGUGAGUGGGUAUGGUGCUGCAAUUUCCAGAACUGAUCCAUAGCUGGUUGUCUUCUUCAGAACUAGUCAUCCUUAGGAGUGCUAAGUGUCAGGAUGGGGGAGUGGUCAGAGGCCCCAGACUCAAGUUCUGCUCUCCCAGCAUUGAUGGGGACCUGACAGGAACUUCACUUCCUGGGUCUGAAUUCAUUACUAUUAUAGAUUUGUAAUUAACCCACUUCUGAGAUGGUUGGUGAAUAUUUUGAGGUGAAUGCCCUGUGGGUUGUCCUUCUCCGUCUAGACAGGUUAAGACUGUAGAUACCACAAACUAAGAUUAUUAGGGGUUUCUGGGGUAGCGGGACAGCAGAACUGUUGGGUGAGAAACUAGGAAGGCUAAGAAAGCUAUUUGUCCUUUUAUUCUGGAGAGCUAAAAGUGGCUUGGAGUUGACAGUGCCGCCCUCUGCCCCCAAGCCAAGGAUGUCAUGGCAUUGGUGUAGUCUUCUCCCACUUUAUCCAUAUAGCUUGCUGCCUGCCUAUCAGCCAAUUGGAUGUUUUUUCUUAAAGGUGCUGUGGUAUUUGACUUUGGCCACAGCAAACAGAUCACUGGAUGGGAAAGAUGCCAUCCCUGCCCCUACAGGCCACUGCUGAGUUCUACAUUGCUGUCCUCCUAGAGCACACAGAAAAUAGCAGAAAUGACCCUGUGCCAACUCUGGGAGAGCUUUCUUCGGUAUAUUCUACUUGUUUGUUGCAGGAUUUUUCUAGAUUAAAGGGCAUUCCUCCUGUUUUCAGCAAAUGUUUUCAUUUUCUUCCUCAAUUGCUAGUGGCCACGUCAGGCCAGUGUACCUGUCCCUGAUAACUUUGGAGCUGACCCUACCAAGGCCAUCUUGGGAGACCUACAGAGAUAGGAAAAGGCGAUUCCUUAAUCCCUGCCUCCACUUGGGGCUGAGGGACCUGGUUAGGGAUCCAGUGGCAGCUGUAAAUGACAGGGAGGCUCAGGGGUCACUCCUAGACAGGUUAAGAUGUAGGUACCACAAACCAGAGUUGUUGAGAGUUACCUGGGCUGAGGAGAGCAUGUGGGGUAAGAAGCAGGGAAGGCUGGAAAGCCCUGUAUGGUUCCCAUGAGCAGUGACUACUGAAGCUUCAUGGCAACCGGCACAUGUGUGGGGAAAGGAUGCCCUGGCCUGGGGACUAUGAGGUACCUAAUCAGUGUCCUCACUUCUUGGUACCAGUAGGUACUUUUCAGGAUUCAAAACAUUGCUUCCAUGAAGAAUAUCUUGCAAUAAAUCCAAGCCAGGUUGAGGCUAUGUGGCUAAGUCCAUAGGCUGAUAGUUAGAAGCACAAGGUUUCAGAAUAUAGUUGGGCAACAUUGAUAUCCUUGAUUCUUUUAUCUCUGUUCCACCUGCAGGUGAUCACCAACAGAGACACGAGAGACCUUGCAGUACAUUACAUACACCAUGGACACACUUGGGGGGACCAGCUCUGACCGUCUCUCCAGAGGCUUUCUCAGCCACUUCCACACUGCAGUUCAGGCCAGGCUUUCAACCUUCCUUGGAGAGUGACCAGCUGUGACAUUCUGGCCUCUCAGGCUUUCCUGCCACACCUGGUGUCUGGUCACUGCUUCUUUCACCCCCACAGGGAGCAUCACAGAGUUGGGGCCUGUCCUCAUGUCCUGUUCUCUUUUCUGUUCUCUUCCCUCUGUCCAUGCUGAUGCAGUCUGUACUCAGAUCCUCCUAGUUCUCAACCUGGAUCACUGCCGUGGCUUCUUAACCGGCUCCCUGAGAUUCUCAAAGCAUCUCUCACCAUGUUAUUUCCAGGCUUCCCAUGCUUCCUGGAACCCGUAGUGCCUUCACGAUGAGAUCUGAGCUCUGCAGUAGAUCUGCAGGACUCCUGAGACUCAGUCACUGUGUUCCCUGGUCCUGUCCACUGUGCUCCCUGCUCUGCCUCUGGGCUGUGGCUAGAUUGCUCCUCCAGGGCCGUGGUUCCUCCUACCUGCCCCAACCAUGUCAGGUACCUGCUGUUUAUUAGGUUCCACCUCGAACUCUGCAGACCUCUGUCUAUCAGGGGUGUUCUUCAUUGCCAUGUUUAUUUGUGCCCUCCCCCAAGCUGGUAUCUGCAUAUCCUUGUGGGUUUCCUAUGCUGUGUACACAGCAGUUCCUGGUGCACUGGGGCUGUAGGAAGGAAGGGAAGAAAGACUGGGCAGUUGCGCUAAGCAUGGGCUGGAGUGUUCAGCAUGCUUGGCCACUCUUCUGGACUGGUCUUUCUAGGUCUCCUCUUUUAUUUUUUUUACCCUGUGCCUGAGUUCACUGCUUCUGCUUAAGGCACAAGUGGCUGCCGGGCUUCUGCCUCACAGGCUGCUGCCACCAAGUGUUGGCCUUCCCAUCCUAUUAUGCCUUUUCCUUUCCUCUUUACUUCAUGGUCUGGCUUCACCUUUCACUUGGGAAAAUUGCCAAGGCCAGGCUUGUUAUGUGCUGUGGCCCACACUGGAGUAGGACUGUGCAAAAACUCAAAGCUAGGCUGGGUAUAGCCCAGUGAUGGGAGGCUUGCCCUGAGUGCUUGUCAAGGCCUUGGGUUCCGUCCCUGGUAUAACGAGUUAAUAAUAACAACAGCCAACAAGCAGCGCUGACCACUCCCCAGCCCUGCUUCAACUCCUUGACCUAAGGAUAGAACCUAUCGUGUUAGGCCUGCACCCUGGGCUGGCUGCUUACUCUUGUGUCCUGCCACCGCCGCCGCUGCCAGCCAGAAUUUGACCUUCUCUGACCUUUCCAGACUCACAUAGCUGUGCCCCAGGCACUGAGCCCUGCUAGUGUCAGGCUUGGGCUAGCAUUUCCCUGUCUUCAACCAAGACUUGUACUUGAACUUCAUGGCUGCUUUCAAGCCUCACCUUCCUGACAAGCCCUAGGGGCACCGAGAGCCUCUCCUCUGCGGUACUGAGGGCACACUUCAUCAAGACUGGUCCAUUCGUCCAGCCCUGUGUGGCAAGUGGUAUUCUAUGGGUUUGAGGCAACAGUGAGCUAGAAAUGUCCUGCUCCCAGAGUCUCUGCACCGUUGUGAAGAUUAACCAGCUGACUCUCUUCCUCCCUGGAUGAGGAGUGCCUACCCCGGCUGCCCUCCAGUACAGUUGACCUGAGACCCUCCAGAACGCACCUGCCUUAAAUAAGGGCCUGUGGCGAGGCCUGGGCCCACUGAAUGAUGGUGUUAGCCCUUCUGCACUGAAGGCUGCUCCCACACGCCCCAGCCCAUGCUUGGCCCUCGCAGUUAGGCCUCUUACGGGCGUGGCUAAAUCCUCACAGAAGGUAUUACAGAUUCCAAGUGCUUCCUUCUCUCACCCUGGGUUGGGUAUGAGUCAGCUGAUGGACCUCUCUGCACCCCUGAGACCCCAGUGACGGCAACAGUGUGGCCAACUCCAACUUCUGGACACGCGACGAGUUUUCUGCUUUCUGGAUCGCCAGCGCGCCCUGGGCAGGUACAACAAGCACCUGUCAUGCACAUCGGCCAGCCGAGCCCAAGCUACAGUGACCCUUAUGUCGAAGCCAUGGUCAUCCGCCAGAUCUGACAAAUUCCCAGAGAAGAAGGGUGGCCUCAAGGGGCUCUUUGAACCGAGAUUCCCGAAUGCUUUGGUCUUCAUGGAGUGCUGGUAUCUGCCUGUCCUGUCACUGCUGAAUUGGAAGAGCCUGGUUUAUUGCCCAUCAACUUCAAAGGAUGCCUCUGCUCCUGGAUCCCCAGCCUCCUGCUUUUUCCUCCUACUUGACAAUAAUUGGAUUGUGGCACCUCCCGUGGAGUUCCUGGACUUAGUCUGGAGGUAAUCAUCAACAGAGGCUUGCAGGAAAGGUCUCUGUGCAUUGUACACAUCUGGAGCUCAACACCCUGUCUAUGAGCUGAUGACAGAAAGAGAAUCAGAGAAGAAACGAGUGUGGUUAUCAGGGACUUAGAAUCUCUGCAGGGACAACCCCUGGAAGUCUCCACAAUACUGAGCAGAGCACUCAUGACUUCCCACCAGGAGCAAACUGUCUGGUCCUGCAAUGCCAGACCCCCAAUAAACCCAAGGUAUCUUGCAGUUUUCAAAGGAACUGAAAUGGCUGUAUGAGCUGGAAGAGCUGAGGAGAGGACGUACCUGAGAGCCCCAGUGGACUCACCCAGGAACAUCGCCAGAUAUUGGCAAUCAACGCCUGAGGGCCCCUGUGCUGCUACCAUAACCUGCACCCGGUGCUGCCGGUUUACACUGGGGACUUAAAGACAAAUGGCAUGUAGGCCAUCAACCCAUGACUGCUGUGCAUGAUUGUGUGUGUACUGUCUAGCCAGGCCUGCACCCAUGGCCCUGAGACAGCUACCAAGAAAGGCCACAGCAUUUCCACCAGGGCUGGAAUUUAGGUGUGGAGGUGACAGUUACUGAAAGGUAGCUUGCUUCUGCCUGCAGUGAUUUCCUCUGUGAUCAUGGCUGGGACACUAGUUCCAGAUCAAUGUAGGGAGGCCAGAAGGUAGCCAUGCCAAAGCUGGGCAGGGAUAUUAAGGUAGGUGCUGGGCAUCAGCAGCCAUGUGUGUGACAAAGGGCUUGCAAGUUAAAUACUAUGGCAGUCAAGUGAUUUCCAAGUCCUGCCCAAUUCUUGGACUGUGUGUCCUGACUCAGUCAUAGCUGAGGGACCUGUUAUAGGUGACUUUCUGGGAGCCAGUGCCAGGCCAGCUCAUGUCCUCCCCAGGGGUUGCUGUGCUCCCUGAUGUGGGUCAGGAAGAAAGCGAACCUGGUGGUAUUUGGAGGCAUUUGGGUUCAGCAGUUCUGUCCACAGUGCUAGUAUUUCUAGCUGCCUGAGCUUGGCAAGCUCCUUCACCCAUCACAAUGUACAUGCCUUCACCCCUUUUCUCUGCAUAGUACCUGACUUCUAAGAGCUAUUUUCUUUUCAACAGGAGAGGAUAUCUGUAAAAUGCUUGGUGCAAACUGCACCACAGUGGUCUGAUCUCCUUUCCUUACUCCCCUCCCUUUGGAGGGCUGGGGUCUGGCUCUCUUGCUCCCUCAUGGCUCUAUGGUAUCUUCUUCCCCAGUAGGAACUGUAGUCCAAGUAAUCUGGAGCAGCAGAUCCAACCUGGGAGUGUUUGUGUGUGCCCCGCUCUCACAGCGGUGUUCUGAGGAUGCAGAAGUGAGCAGGGCAGCAAAGAAAUGAUGUUGCAGAGUGGAGGUGAGGAGCAAGGGCUCUGGAUUCAGACCACACUAGAACUCAGUGUGCAGCCUGAGAGCUAGCUGCACUUAAUUGCACUGUACCUCAGUUUCCCUGUCUGUAAAAUAGGUAUAAAAUUAAUCAACCUCAUGAAUGAACAGUGCAUUCUAGUGCUGAGCACACCCAUCAGUUCCAAUAAAUAUGUAUUGGUACUAACUGACUCCAGCGGAGGAGCCAGGGGAGGGAGCUAUGCAGCAGGGUGGAGUGGUCCCCACAACAGUUGGCCUUCUCUCCCACAGAUGGGAGAGAUCAGAGGGUGGAAGACUUGAAAUAGGUGUCCCUUGAGGGAUGGGAAAUAAUUGUUGGUGUUGUUUCUGUAGUUUUGGGCUCUGGGGUGGUUCCCAGCGCUGGGCACAGGCUGAGCAAGUGUUCCUCCCAUGAGCAACAGUCCCAGUAGUUUUUAGAGGAGCAGAUGGGAGUAGUCUGACUUAUCCUAGUUGGGGAAGACAAGCAAGCCUCCCCAAUCCCUUUAAUCCAUGUUCUUGACCACCCCAACUCUUACCCCCACCCUCUGCAUCAGAAAACAAUUUAAUGAACUCCAGCUGAGCCACAUGCUGGUUGCAUGACUCUAGUAUUCAUGGAGAUCUGUUCUCAAGGAGAGAAGAGAAAACCAAGGUCCCUGCACUAAGUCUCCGAGCCAGUGGCAUGGGCCUGCCUGCAGAGCAGACAGAGGAGUCUGUGUUUGCAGUCCCCAAAGAGCCCCAGUCUUCCUCUCCCUGCCCCUCCUAUCCUGAUUGGUGGGAGUCCAGGAAACAUGUAGCCUGCCAGCCCUGGGCACCUCAUACAGGCUACUGGAGGGUAGCAUGGAGGCAGCCUCUUGGCUGCGGGGAAAUGGCAGACAUAACCCUUUCCUAUCAGCACAAGAGGUAGGCUGAUAAUGAUGUUGGGUCCUAGUGUUGGCCACAAGCAUCCCCUCUGUCACCUGACCUCAGUGGCCUUGAAGAGCUUUGCUUACUGUCCAAAGAGUCACCAUAGAGGAAAGCAGCUUUAGCUGCCUCUCCGCUGGUGUGGUGCUCCCUGGGCCAGUGGGAUGGGGCGCUGGUUCUGCUUCUCCAUCUGUUUUCCCCCCACACCUGACUCUAGCCUUCCUGACUCCCUGACUGCCCAUAACCUCCUCCAUUUGGCAUUAGCACUCAUGGCGCCAUGAAUAGUAAUGUCUUUUCUCUUUCCUAUUGGCCACCUAUGGCUAAUUUUUCAAGAUACCACUAGUGGUUACCUCCUGUUGUGGCAUGAUUUGGUCAUGCCUGCCUUUGAACCCAUGCCACGAGAGCUCGCUCGCAUUACAUAGACCUGACUAGGGCAUCUCCAUGGUUCUGACAGUGUCACUGAUGGGGGUCUCACUUUCUUGCCUGUGCUGGUCUCAAAAGUCUGGGCUUCUGUGAACCUGCCUCAGCUCUUCAGAAGCUAGGACUCCGGCAAACCCGGCAGUCCUUUUGAAAGAUGAAGAAAAGAAGGCCUGGAGAGCUCAGCUAUUUUGCUUUGGUUGUUAAUGCAGUUUUUUACUUGCUUUGUGCAUAUUUAACUUCUGAGGUGUGCCAGACACUGAGAGCAUGCCAAUGAGUAAAAUGGACAAUAAUCCCUGGAGCUUCCACUGGACUGAGGAAGGAGGAGGAGGAGGAGAGGAGGAGACCUGUCGGUUGUGGGAAGUGGGAUAGAAAUGGAGGACGUCAAGGUUGCUCUAGGGGAGGCUGCUGAGGCCCACAUUGGUGUCAGUUAAUGAAGAUCAGGCAGAACAUGUUGGAGGAGUGAGGGGACAGCACUUCAUAGAGAACUAUAGGUCCCAGGGGCAAGAAGUGGAUGGAGAUGUCCCCAAAAUCAAGAGGAGGCCCGAGUGAAAGAGGAUGAUAGCCCCCAAAGAAACUUUGCAAUUUGGUUUUUGUUUACUUGCGUAAGAAUGGGGAGUGGCCUUCCUUCAGGGCUAGAGCCCAGGUGGUAGAGCUGACCAAGGUUUUUUAUUUUUAAGCCUAUGGAUGUCUGCUGUAAUUUUGCAUUUUUGCUGUGUAAGCCCAUGUCACCUCACCAAUUUUCAGUAAAGUCUGUUACAAACACAAA